GUGGGUAUAGCUCAGUUGGUUAGAGCACCAGAUUGUGGUUCUGGGGGUCGGGGGUUCGAGUCCCCUUACCCACCCCA
rnacentral:tRNA from 1 species